rnacentral:rRNA from 1 species
UACGAAGGGGGCUAGCGUUGUUCGGAAUCACUGGGCGUAAAGCGCACGUAGGCGGAUCUUUAAGUCGGUGGUGAAAUCCUGGAGCUCAACUCCAGAACUGCCUUCGAUACUGGAAGACUUGAGUCCGGGAGAGGUGAGUGGAACUGCGAGUGUAGAGGUGAAAUUCGUAGAUAUUCGCAAGAACACCAGUGGCGAAGGCGGCUCACUGGCCCGGUACUGACGCUGAGGUGCGAAAGCGUGGGGAGCAAACAGG